AACUUGAUGAUGUGGACAUUUACUGAGAAGGUCUCUAAAGCGCUCUCAAGUCUCAAAGAAAAGUUUUCCAUCCAUCUGUGUGAAACUUGUGAUUGCCCUUCACAGCU